rfam:Salmo salar isolate Sally breed double haploid chromosome ssa15, whole genome shotgun sequence.
UGCAUUCACUACUGUAAGUCGCUUUGGAUAAGAGCGUCUGCUAAAUGACAAAAA